AUUAAGAUUCUUGAAUACAAAAUCAAAGUUUACAAGUGAUUUCUCAGAGAAGUAUCAUCGAUUGACUUCGAGGUAUACACAUCUAGGGCAGUGCUUCUCUAAAGAUCAGUUGUUUAUCUGUUAGGUUCAGUACAUUCAUCUCCUGAUUCUUACGCAACCAUGUCAAAUAGUUAGAAUUGAGAGUACAUCCAUGAAAAGCCGUCCUCACAUCCACAAUAGUAACAUAACAGUUAUAAUUUCCAGAACCAAGAACACAAUAGUAGCUAUGAAUCCGACCCAGCUUGCACAGAUUAUCAAAAAUUUCCUAGUUU
rnacentral:sRNA from 1 species